rnacentral:tRNA from 1 species
GCCGGAAUGGUGGAAUAGGUAGACACAAGGGACUUAAAAUCCCUCGACCGUAAAAAGGUCGUGCCAGUUCGAUUCUGGUUUCCGGCA